AGAGUUUGAUCCUGGCUCAGGAUGAACGCUAGCUACAGGCUUAACACAUGCAAGUCGAGGGGAAACGACAUCGAAAGCUUGCUUUUGAUGGGCGUCGACCGGCGCACGGGUGAGUAACGCGUAUCCAACCUGCCCACCACUUGGGGAUAACCUUGCGAAAGUAAGACUAAUACCCAAUGACGUCUCUAGAAGACAUCUGAAAGAGAUUAAAGAUUUAUCGGUGAUGGAUGGGGAUGCGUCUGAUUAGCUUGUUGGCGGGGUAACGGCCACAAGGCGACGAUCAGUAGGGGUUCUGAGAGGGAGGUCCCCACAUUGGAACUGAGACACGGUCAAACUCUACGGGAGCA
rnacentral:rRNA from 1 species